rnacentral:rRNA from 1 species
GACGAACCGUGCGAACGUUAUUCGGAAUCACUGGGCUUAAAGCGCGUGUAGGCGGCCCGGCACGUCCGUCGCUGAAAUCCCCCGGCUCAACCGGGGAAGUGGCGUGGAUACGACCGGGCUGGAGGGGGGUAGGGGGAGCCGGAGCUUCCGGUGGAGCGGUGAAAUGCGUUGAGAUCGGAAGGAACGCCCGUGGCGAAAGCGGGCUCCUGGACCCCACCUGACGCUGAGACGCGAAAGCCAGGGGAGCGAACGGG